ACGAACGCUGGCGGCACGCUUAACACAUGCAAGUCGAACGAGAGAAGAGAAGCUUGCUUUUCUGAUCUAGUGGCGGACGGGUGAGUAACACGUGAGCAAUCUGCCUUUCAGAGGGGGAUACCGAUUGGAAACGAUCGUUAAUACCGCAUAACAUAAUUGAACCGCAUGAUUUGAUUAUCAAAGAUUUAUCGCUGAAAGAUGAGCUCGCGUCUGAUUAGCUAGUUGGUAAGGUAACGGCUUACCAAGGCGACGAUCAGUAGCCGGACUGAGAGGUUGAUCGGCCACAUUGGGACUGAGACACGGCCCAGACUCCUACGGGAGGCAGCAGUGGGGAAUAUUGCACAAUGGAGGAAACUCUGAUGCAGCGAUGCCGCGUGAGGGAAGAAGGUUUUAGGAUUGUAAACCUCUGUCUUCAGGGACGAAAAAUGACGGUACCUGAGGAGGAAGCUCCGGCUAACUACGUGCCAGCAGCCGCGGUAAUACGUAGGGAGCGAGCGUUGUCCGGAAUUACUGGGUGUAAAGGGAGCGUAGGCGGGAUCGCAAGUCAGAUGUGAAAACUAUGGGCUUAACCCAUAAACUGCAUUUGAAACUGUGGUUCUUGAGUGAAGUAGAGGUAAGCGGAAUUCCUAGUGUAGCGGUGAAAUGCGUAGAUAUUAGGAGGAACAUCAGUGGCGAAGGCGGCUUACUGGGCUUUAACUGACGCUGAGGCUCGAAAGCGUGGGGAGCAAACAGGAUUAGAUACCCUGGUAGUCCACGCCGUAAACGAUGAUUACUAGGUGUGGGGGGACUGACCCCUUCCGUGCCGCAGCAAACGCAAUAAGUAAUCCACCUGGGGAGUACGACAGCAAGGUUGAAACUCAAAGGAAUUGACGGGGGCCCGCACAAGCAGUGGAGUAUGUGGAUUAAUUCGAAGCAACGCGAAGAACCUUACCAGGUCUUGACAUCGUAUGCAUAGCUCAGAGAUGAGUGAAAUCUCUUCGGAGACAUAUAGACAGGUGGUGCAUGGUUGUCGUCAGCUCGUGUCGUGAGAUGUUGGGUUAAGUCCCGCAACGAGCGCAACCCUUACUGUUAGUUGCUACGCAAGAGCACUCUAGCAGGACUGCCGUUGACAAAACGGAGGAAGGUGGGGAUGACGUCAAAUCAUCAUGCCCCUUAUGACCUGGGCCUCACACGUACUACAAUGGCUGUCAACAGAGGGAAGCAAAGCCGCGAGGUGGAGCAAACCCCUAAAAGCAGUCUUAGUUCGGAUUGUAGGCUGCAACCCGCCUACAUGAAGUCGGAAUUGCUAGUAAUCGCAGAUCAGCAUGCUGCGGUGAAUACGUUCCCGGGCCUUGUACACACCGCCCGUCACGCCAUGGGAGUCGGUAACACCCGAAGCCUGUAGUCUAACCGCAAGGAGGACGCAGUCGAAGGUGGGAUUGAUGACUGGGGUG
rnacentral:rRNA from 1 species